UGGAAAGAAUUUUAAUUUAAAUGAAAAAUAUUUGAUUUUCUUUUGCAAAUACCACUUCCACCCCUUUCAAGGGUUUCUCAAGGGUUUUGCAUCCCGGCAGCCAUGAAUCACGGCAAGAGAAUCCUGAGUUCGCUUCGAUUGAGGAAUUCUCUGUUUUUCACUCAGCUUUCACGAGCUCCUUCUUCCAAUCAUCAGGUGACUCAACACUUAAAUCUUUCUCCUUCACUUCUCACGCAAAUUUACACUUCCACUAGUAUUCUCGGUGCAAGUCAAAAUGUCUUCUUUUCAUCAAAAACUGAAUCUUUUGUUGACAUUAUACUAUCCAAUGACUGGUCGAAACAAUUAGAAAAGGAUUUAGGAAAAAAUGAUCUUCCGGUGACCCAUGAAGCUGUUAUGUAUUUGUUGAAGAAACUCGAUAAAGAACCGCAAAAGGCUGGGGAUUUCUUGAAAUGGGUUGUUAAGCAAAAUGGGUUUAAACCUAGUUCUUCUAUGUACAGUCUGAUGCUUAGAAUUUAUGCUAACAGGGAUUCAAUGAAGGACUUUUGGACUACUAUUAAGGAAAUGAAAGAGAACGGGUUUUAUAUUGAUGAGGAAACGUAUAAAUCAAUUCAUUCUAUUUUUCGGAAUUUGAAAAUGGAAACUGAUGCCACUGCUUUAAAGCAUUUCUAUGGGAGGAUGAUUAAAGAUAAUGCUAUGGGUGAUGUGGCAAAAGAUGUGUCUGAAUUGAUUACAAAACAUGAAUGGGGAGUUGAGGUGGAGAGACAAUUAGGGGAGAUGAAACUCCCGGUGUCGGAUAAUUUUGUGCUUAGGGUGUUGAAGGAACUUAGAGAAAUAGGAUAUCCACUGAAAGCUUUCAGCUUUUUCAAAUGGGUUGCGAGGAAUUUAGAUUUUCAGCACACCACCAUUACUUAUAAUGGGAUUCUUAGGGUUCUUUGCCGAGAAGAGUCGAUUGAGGAGUUCUGGGGUGUGGUAAAAGAGAUGAUGAGCCUGGGGUUUGAAAUAGAUCUUGAUACAUAUAUAAAAAUCUCAAGGCAUUUUCAGAAGAUUAAGAUGUUGAAAGAUGCAGUAGAACUAUAUGAACUGAUGAUGGAUGGUCAGUUUAAACCAUCACUUGGUGAGUGCAAUAUUCUUUUAAGAUCCAUUGCACAGUCACAUCCCUCAGAUCUUGAUUUGCUAUUUAGAGUUGUGGAAAAAUUUGAGGCCGCAGGGCAUUCACGCUCAAAGAUUAUUUAUGAUGUCAUUCAUAGGUGUUUGACUAACUUGGGGCGAUUUGAGGAAGCAGAGAAGAUAACAGAAGCUAUGAGAGAUGCAGGAUUUGAACCUGACAAUAUUACCUACAGCCAAUUAAUAUAUGGACUUUGCAAAGUGAGGAGGCUGGAGGAGGCAUCAAAGGUGAUAGAUGUGAUGGAAGAAUGUGGAUGCAUUCCGGAUAUCAAGACUUGGACUGUUCUGAUACAAGGGCAUUGUUUUGCUGGUGAAGUUGAUAAGGCGCUGUUUUGUUUUGCUAAGAUGAUGGAGAGAAAUGUUGAUACAGAUGCUGAUUUGUUGGAUGUACUACUUAAUGGUUUUCUGAGUCAAAGAAGAGUUUUUGGUGCAUAUCAGUUAUUGACCGAGUUGGUGAAUAAGUUUCAAAUGCGCCCAUGGCAAGCAACAUACAAACUUGUCAUUCAAAAGCUCUUAGGGGAAAGGAAAUUCGAAGAAGCGCUUGAUCUACUCCGUCGGAUGAAGAAACACAAUUAUCCACCUUUUCCAGAACCCUUUCUUCAAUAUAUUUCAAAGUCAGGAACAGUGGAAGAUGCAGUGGAGUUUUUGAAGGCGUUGAGUGUCAAGGACUAUCCAUCUGUUUCAGCCUACCAACAUGUUUUCCAGUCCUUCUUUGCAGAAGGUAGACAUUCUGAGGCAAAAGAUCUGCUCUACAAGUGCCCACAUCAUAUUCGCCAACACCCAGCAAUUUGUGGCCUCUUUGGUUCGUCAAAUUCUAACAGUGGAAAAGUGAAAAGGUUCCCCCGGCAGAGUUCGACUUCUGUGUAGGCACAAGGUGCAAUUAGUGAAAUCUGGGAGGAGGAUUAAGCCUUAAGGUUAGUAUCUGAUAAGACCUCCCGAUGCUAACCUCGCCAGGAUCUUCAACUUUAAAAGACAAUUACACAAGUUAAUCAGAUAGCUCCAGAUAUCACUCUAUUAGCUGGUUCAGCCAAUGCAUGCAAAAAUCUUGCCAGGUUCAUGUCUUCAAGAUCUUUCACUUGGAACCUGAAUAAGAAGUGCCUGGGUUUCUUUCUGCUUCUGCUUCUGCUGCCAGCCUGAUAAUUGAACUGAUGGUGUUUGUGAAACUAGCAGUAAUAAACAUUCUGUUGGUUCAAGGGAAAUUACGAACCGCCUGGCUACAAAUCGUUGUUUUCUGCAUUCACUCUGAACUGUCGAAUUUGGAGAGUAAUCUAAGAAGCUACUUCAGUUUGGGAGGUCAAUGCCACCGUGCAGCUGAGAAAUGCAGUUUUGGCCAUCAUGUCAUUUUCAUUUGUGUUAUGUACACUCAAAUGUGCAAUAUUUAUGUUAUCAGGUUGAAAAUUUUGUUGUCAUUACUUUUUCACUUUGUUUACCAUUUGUCACUUGACAAUUUUAAAUUUUACACAAAGAACAGUCCAUUUAUUGUAUUGGAUUUUUCGGAGUUUCUUGUUAUUGAUUAAUAGGUUUGAAGUUCU